rnacentral:rRNA from 1 species
UACGUAGGUGGCAAGCGUUGUCCGGAAUCAUUGGGCGUAAAGGGCGCGUAGGUGGCCCGGUCAGUCCGUGGUGAAAGCGCGGGGCUCAACCCCGCGUCGGCCAUGGAUACUGCUGGGCUGGAGCACUGUAGAGGCAGGCGGAAUUCCGGGUGUAGCGGUGGAAUGCGUAGAGAUCCGGAAGAACACCGGUGGCGAAGGCGGCCUGCUGGGCAGUUGCUGACACUGAGGCGCGACAGCGUGGGGAGCAAACAGG